UGCCGCCGAUGAUGUUGAUGAUGAUGCAUGAGUGUUUGGUUGGUAGGUGAAGAUGAUGGUGGUAUUGAUGUAGAAGAAGGAUUUGGACUGAGAAGGAUCUCCAUAAGAU